GACGUAGGGCGCGAGCGUUGUCCGGAUUUAUUGGGCGUAAAGAGCUCGUAGGCGGUUUGUCGCGUCUGCCGUGAAAGUCCGGGGCUCAACUCCGGAUCUGCGGUGGGUACGGGCAGACUAGAGUGAUGUAGGGGAGACUGGAAUUCCUGGUGUAGCGGUGAAAUGCGCAGAUAGUCGGAAGAACAUCAGUGGCGAAAGCGGAGCUUCC
rnacentral:rRNA from 1 species